rnacentral:lncRNA from 1 species
AGCUCUCUGCUAGCAGCAACAUUUGUUGGUCAUCCUCCUCUUGAAGAUAUAUUGGAAUUUCAAUCAUCUUAAUCACACCUUUUAUUUUUUAUUCUUAAUUGCUCAUCUUUUUAAUCAUUGUUACUGUAUCAAAUCAGAUUCACUUUAUCUUUUCUUCUAUAAACUGUGUACCAAUGGGUCGAUGUGGAUUAACAAAUGGCGCUUGAGUUCGAGUUCUUUACAGUGAGCAUUAUUCACUUGUGUCAAAGCUUUUCAGUAUGGUUUCCAUAUUUUGAUCUAUGUUACUGUAUCCAUAUUUUGUGUCAAAUGCUUCAAUGGGGUGUGAUGAACCCUAGGUUUUCUCGGAGGAAGAUGAAGGGGAAGAGUUACGAUUGAAAAUUAAGUAACGCUGGUGUAUAAAGAAAUGGGGUCGGGGAGGGUUAGAAAAGUGGGUCGGGCGGGUUUAAAAAAUAGAAUGGGUGGGCUAAUCUGGUCCAAUCUUGAACAGUGGGUCGGGCGGGUUUAAAAAAUAGAAUGGAUGGGUAAUCUGAUCCAAUCGUUGGCUGCCACGUGUUAAAAAAUUAUGUGGAAACAAGUUUUAAUGGCUGAGGGAUAUAUAUGGCCCUAAUGUAUAACGGUGGGGAUAUAUUUGUUGAAGAAUUCAAACGGAGGAUAAAUAUGGCCUAUUUUGAAUAGUACAAGGAUAUAUUUUACCCUUAACCGUAUAUUUUUUUACUUGUCUGUGUUCCAGCUAUGUUGGUAUUAAUUUAUCUAUUUAUGUUGUUUUCCACCCGUAUUUCUCUUUAUUAUUUCUACUGAUUGUAGUUUGUUCUUUCCCUGCUGUUGGUAUUACUAUGUUAUUUUUUUAUUCAUAGUUUAUUAUCAAAUCUUGUUCAAUUUAUUGGAUCAGUAGGUGUCCGGACUGUUCCUCGUCAUUACCCCAUUGAAGUUAGUCUUGAUACUUACUGGCAUCGCCGUGGUGUGCUCAUACUACACUUCUGUGCAUUUUUUUGUACAAAUACAAGUAUUUGAUCGGUAGUAGCUGUGCAGGUUAUUGCGGUGGAGACUCAAGGUAAACCUGCUACAACGUUCGCAGGCUUCGGAGUUACCUUCAGUUGUAUUUAUUUCUAUUUGUUCCUUUUAUUUUGGAGCAACAGUGUAUUUAUUUUGCAUAACUACUCUUAUAAAGGCUUGUGACUUGUAUCACCGAUUUUGG